UUUUAAUUGGAAGCUAGUAUGAAUGGUUGGACAAAGGAAAUUCUGUCUUUUUAUUAUCUUUGAAUUUAUCUUUUAAGUGAAAAGACUUAGAUUAUUUUAAGGGACGACAAGACCCUAUAAAUCUUUAUAUAAAUAUUAUUCUUAUUAAAUUUUUUAUGUUUAUAAAACUAUGAAUAUAAGAUAUUAUGUUGGGGAGACAAGAAUAUUUAAUAAACUGUUCUUCAUUAAAACAAAGUUGUUUGAAAUGGUUAAUAGAUCCUAUCUAAAGAUUUAAGUUUAAGUUACUUUAGGGAUAACAGCGUUAUUUUUUUUGAGAGUUCAUAUCGAAAAGAAAAGUUUGCGACCUCGAUGUUGAAUUAAAAUCUCUUAAUGGUGUAGCAGUCAUUCAAGAAAGUCUGUUCGACUUAUAAAUUUUUACGUGAUCU
rnacentral:rRNA from 1 species